rnacentral:rRNA from 1 species
AGUCGAGCGAAGCAGUUAAGAAGAUUCUUCGGAUGAUUCUUAACUGACUGAGCGGCGGACGGGUGAGUAACGCGUGGGUGACCUGCCCCAUACCGGGGGAUAACAGCUGGAAACGGCUGCUAAUACCGCAUAAGCGCACAGAGCUGCAUGGCUCGGUGUGAAAAACUCCGGUGGUAUGGGAUGGGCCCGCGUCUGAUUAGGCAGUUGGCGGGGUAACGGCCCACCAAACCGACGAUCAGUAGCCGGCCUGAGAGGGCGACCGGCCACAUUGGGACUGAGACACGGCCCAAACUCCUACGGGAGGCAGCAGUGGGGAAUAUUGCACAAUGGGGGAAACCCUGAUGCAGCGACGCCGCGUGAGCGAAGAAGUAUUUCGGUAUGUAAAGCUCUAUCAGCAGGGAAGAUAAUGACGGUACCUGACUAAGAAGCCCCGGCUAACUACGUGCCAGCAGCCGCGGUAAUACGUAGGGGGCAAGCGUUAUCCGGAUUUACUGGGUGUAAAGGGAGCGUAGACGGCAAGGCAAGUCUGAUGUGAAAACCCAGGGCUUAACCCUGGGACUGCAUUGGAAACUGUCUGGCUCGAGUGCCGGAGAGGUAAGCGGAAUUCCUAGUGUAGCGGUGAAAUGCGUAGAUAUUAGGAAGAACGCCAGUGGCGAAGGCGGCUUACUGGACGGUAACUGACGUUGAGGCUCGAA